rnacentral:piRNA from 1 species
AAAGAAACCCUGUCUUGGAAAACC